rnacentral:rRNA from 1 species
CCUACGGGAGGCAGCAGUGAGGAAUAUUGGUCAAUGGACGCAAGUCUGAACCAGCCAUUCCGCGUGCAGGAAGACGGCUCUAUGAGUUGUAAACUGCUUUUGUACGAGGGUAAACGCAGAUACGCGUAUCUGUCUGAAAGUAUCGUACGAAUAAGGAUCGGCUAACUCCGUGCAAGCAGCCGCGGUAAUCCGGAGGAUUCAAGCGUUAUCCGGAUUUAUUGGGUUUAAAGGGUUCGUAGGCGGUCGGAUAAGUUAGAGGUUAAAUCCCGAGGCUUAACUUCGGAAUUGCCUCUGAUACUGUUCGGCUAGAGAGUAGUUGAGGUAGGCGGAAUGUAUGGUGUAGCGGUGAAAUGCUUAGAGAUCAUAUAGAACACCGAUUGCGAAGGCAGCUUACCAAGCUACUUCUGACGUUGAGGCACGAAAGCGUGGGGAGCAAACAGGAGUAGAUACCCUGGUAGUC